GCUGGGCAUGGUGGCACAUGCCUGUAGUCCCAGCUACUCAGGAAGCUGGGGUGGGAGGAUGGCUUGAGCUCAGGAGUUGAGGCUGUAGUGCAGUAUGGUUACACCUGUGAAUAGGCCCUGCACUCCAGCCUGGGCAAUAUAGCAAGACCCUAUCACUU
ensembl:misc_RNA Metazoa_SRP Metazoan signal recognition particle RNA